rnacentral:tRNA from 1 species
GGAGAGGUGGCAGAGUGGUCGAAUGCGGCGGACUUGAAAUCCGUUGAGCCUUCACGGGCUCCGGGGGUUCGAAUCCCUCCCUCUCCGCCA